rnacentral:rRNA from 1 species
UACGUAGGGUGCGAGCGUGUCCGGAAUUAUUGGGCGAAAGAGCUCGUAGGCGGUCUGUCGCGUCUGCUGUGAAAACCCGGGGCUCAACUCCGGGCUGCAGUGGAUACGGGCAGACUAGAGGUUCGGUAGGGGAGACUGGAAUUCCUGGUGUAGCGGUGAAAUGCGCAGAUAUCAGGAGGAACACCGGUGGCGAAGGCGGGUCUCUGGGCAUUACCUGACGCUGAGGAGCGAAAGUGUGGGGAGCGAAACAGG